AUGGAGAUUUCAAAAUCAUUAGUUUGUGAUUUUCAUGGUGGUAUAUGACUUCCAAUCUUCUCCUCAUAUGCAUGUUUUUAUUUUUGAUUGUAAUCAUCAAGGGAUUCCUAGGGUUUUUGAGUUUCGAUGGAUGAGUUUAAUUGUUAAACUUAGUUUUCAUUUUUGUAUGCAUGUUAAAUAAUUUUUAAAAACUUUAUUUUGCUGUAUUAUCAGAACCCAACAGUGGUAUCAAAGCCAUCCUUGAUAGAUUCAGUCAAAUUUCAUGUUAUUUUUGUGAUAUGGAUUAGAUCCAUUCAAACUAUGUCAAAAUUAGUUUUUCUAAUUGAUGUUUCGUUGAUAAUUUUUGAUGUAUUUUUAUUUUUGAUAAAGUGUUAUCGAUUCAUGAUCCAAUCUUGGAUAUA
rnacentral:lncRNA from 1 species